UUCACAAUACAAUCUUUAGAUCCUGAUGAAAGUCUUGAACCAUCUAUAGACCAGUCAAUAGUGUAAACUUCGUCAGCAUGACCUGGGAGAUCUUCCUUGAGUUUUUUAGAGCUUACGUGCCAAACUUUUACCGUACUAUCACUAGAAGCAGAUGCAAUCAAUCUGCUAUCCACUGACCAUGAAAUCAUAUAUACUGGACCGACAUGGCCCCUAAGAACCGCAAUAAACUUUCCAGAAUGUCCAUCCCAGAGCCUAAUAGUUUUAUCAAAUGAUGCAGAUGCAAUAUAUCUUCCGUCUGGAGAAAAGGCAACAUGGUUAACAACUUUUAAAUGCCCUGUUAGUCUAUGAAUUGGCUUUCUACCAUUUUCUCCAAGCGGAUCCCAUAGGAACAUAGUAUUAUCGUCAGAACCUGAGAGAAGCCUUUCAAACUUGCACCUUUUUUUAAAGUUAUCAACAGAUUGUUUGGCUGCAGCGAUCUUGUCUUGCAAGGAUUUGAAGUUUAGCUUCAGGUUUUUCCCAGUAGGGUAGUAACAAGCUGAUCUGGUAAUAUAAUCAGUAUUUAGGGCAAGAGUAUUAACCCAGUGAGCAUGGCCUUUCAAAUCUCUCAAAAGUUGACCAGUUUCUGGGUUCCAAACCUUAAUCAGCGAAUCUCUAGAAGAACUAACAACAUAUUCCUGGUUUAUUCCAGUCCAUUUGACAUGUGUAAUCAUUUCAGUAUGGGAUGACAAAGUAUUAAUUAUUGUUCCAGUUGUUAUGUUCCAAAUCUUUAGGGUAAAAUCCUUGGAUGCACUUAUUAAUUUAGGGAAAUACAAGUUGUUCGACCCUGAUUCUGUAGCAUUUUCCUCACCAUCAUUAACUUUAGUUUCAGCAGAGAAGUUCAUUAGAUGCAGAGGUUGCCAUGCUAAUGAAACUACAGCCUUUGAAUGUCCUUUGAGCUUUCUAAAUACCUUAUCACCCUUGGAUGGAUUCCAAAUGCAAAUAGCAUUAUCCAUACCUGCUGAUGCUAAUAAGGUAGAAUCUGGAGACCAAGCUAAAGUUAGAACCCAAUUUAAAUGGCCUUUUAGACACAUUUCAGGAGUUUCUGUAAGAAGAUCCCAGAGUCUAACUGUUGUAUCACCAGAUCCUGUCGCAAGUAAAUUACUAUCAGGACUAAAGGAGCAACAUAAAACUGCAUCUUUAUGGCCUUGUAAAGAACUAGUACACCUUGUGGCUGGUAAGAUUUUAAAAGGAGUCAUUGGAUAAUAAACAAUUUUGAGAACAUCUUCUGUAGAAAUUCCUCCUAUUUUAUCAAAUGUUUCGGAAAGUGAGAAUGAUACCUCCAAAUUUGAGUCAUUUAAGCAAAAACUAUAGGGAGUAUCUUCUUCAUUCUCCAAAAGUUGGUUAACCAAAGCAUUCAGGUCCCUUAAAUUGGUUUCAUCUAAGUUUAUAUCGAAUUCAUCGCCUACCUUAUUGCCAUCUGGAUCUAUAAAUUGAACAUUAACAUGGCGUUCCUGUUUCUGCUCAGUACCUUCUCCUGGGCUACUCUCUUGAUAUUCUGCUCCUACUCUUCUCCUCUUCAUAAGUUCCAUUUCUUCAGC
rnacentral:antisense_RNA from 1 species